GUGAAAAUCGGGUCAAGGUCACAGCAAAUGUCAGUAAAACCCCUUUAUCCACAUUUUUUAUAGAUUGCCUUAAAACUUAACAACAAUACACUAGGCUUGGGGAACAUUAAUAAUCGUUUCACCCUGACCUGUAUUGUUAGCGCCUAAGGUCAAAGUUCACCUUGAAAAGAAUUUUCAAGAAAACAUAUUUAGUAUAAUAUUAACAGGCAUGGAAACAGCUGUACAACACACUUUUAAUUUUUUCAAUUUGACAACAUCACAGUGACACCUUAACAGACUGAUGUCAUCAUGUUGCCAUGAAAAGAUCAUCAAAGUUGUAUUAAAACCCUUCUCCUUUUACAGGGUUGUGCUCUGUGACUUCUCUUGCUUUGUGUGUUUUCUUUUAGUGAACUAAGUUUUUUUUCUUGGGUUCUCGCUGGUUUAGUGUUUGAGUCUUCCCUCAGUAUUGCAUUCAUGUGUCCGUGUUUCCUCCUUUAUCUCACUUCCUGUCUUAUUUUUACAGUUAGUUGCUUUGCUAUUAGUUUUGCUUCCCUCGUCUUGUCCUCUGUGAUUUAGGUAAGCUGUGUCUUGUUUCCCUGUUUGCCCUUCUAUGCGUAUAAAUUGUGGUUAACUUCUACUAGUCUUUUGUCUGUUCUGCUUGCCCUACUGUGUUUUCAGGCUUUGUUUCAGUACUUAACUUUGUUUCAGUUUCAGUACUUACUUACAGACUUAAGGAUGGCUGUCUUUACUUUCUCCAGAUUCUCAACGUCUUUUCUUCACUUUGCAGAAGAGUGACAGUGGAUAUAUUGGACAAAGGAUGUUGCAUAUGGAGCUGCCAGAGAGGAAGACCUCAGAGAAGUUUCAUGCAUGUAGUGAAAGAGGACAUGAACAGGUUUGGUGUGACAGAGGAGGAUGCAGGGAUAAUAUACAAUAGAGCGUUGAAAGAAAAUGCCACACCCAUCCAAUACCAGGCUAGUGGAAAAUUACAGGACUGGAAACCAGACCCAGUCCCAAAUAAGGGAAAGACAAGUCUAUACCACGGCUCCUCUGCUACUUUUUAACUAAUAAUAUUAAUAUUCUUGUUGUAUUUUUACUGCUUUGGUGUCGUACCCUUUCUCUGUCCGGACCACUGGACAGAGGAAGUCCAUGGUCCCGUGCAAAACUUGAAACUUCAAUCUUUUAAUAAUUUUUGAAAACGUAUACUUUGAGUUUGCUCAUCUUGUCUCACAAAAAGAAAAAAAUUUUGUUACCAAAAGCUCUCAAUAGUAAUUAUUGUGAGUUAUGGUUCUUUUCCCCACACUGAGCCAUUACAGCCAAUUUCAGAGUUCCCCCACCUGCUGAAUCUACUUUAACCCCUGACUGUACACAUUUUCCUGUUUAGAGGCAAAUUCACCCUCUACAAUGUAGCAACAGGAAAUAGAAAUAUAUUUUUAUUUUCCUUCCUUUUCUUUAUAUUCAAGCUAAGUUCAAUUAAAAUAAACAAAUUAGACUUAAGUUUGUAUUCCCAUCUUCAAAUGUUAUUUUAUUAUUAUGUUAAUACAGCACAAGCUUUGUAGAAAAUAGAAACGUCCUCCAAAGAGCUACUUUUUACUUUCUUACUUUGAGUCCAUUUCAGAGCCUGUAAUUUUUUUACUUUUACUUAAGUAAAGAAGUUGAAUCAGUCCAUCAGCUUUUACUGGAGUAUUUUUUAACAGUACUAUCUGCACUUCUAUAGAAUAGCUAAGUAAACAAUGUCUGUACUUUUGCCAAUUCUGAUGUUUUACUCACCAGGGUAGCAAGUCGGUCACGUGACUGUAUACUGUAUGAUGAGAUAAGUUCAUAUUGCUUGAAUGUGUUGUUACAGUAAACAAGAGCAGAAUAAAUGAAAACAAAUUAAAAAAAAAA